rnacentral:rRNA from 1 species
UACGGAGGGGGCAAGCGUUAUUCGGAAUUAUUGGGCGUAAAGGGCGCGUAGGCGGCUAGAUGUGUCAAAGGUGAAAUCCCUCGGCUCAACUGAGGAACUGCCUUUGAAACUGUCUGGCUUGAGGCCGGGAGAGGGUAGCGGAAUUCCCAGUGUAGCGGUGAAAUGCGUAGAUAUUGGGAAGAACACCAGCGGCGAAAGCGCUCUGCUAGGCCGCAACUGACACUGAGGGACGAAAGCUAGGGGAGCGAAUGGG